rnacentral:ncRNA from 1 species
AGAGUUUGAGGUUAAUUAGGUUUGGUUUUAUAAUAAAUAAUUAUAAAUUUUUUAUGGUUUUCUUAAAAAGGUUAGAAUCAGAAAAUAAAAUUUACUUAAUAACUUAAAGUUAUUGAAAUUUAUAAAAUAAUUUAGCUAAUUUUGUGCCAGCAGCAGCGGUUAGACAAAAAAAACUUUUUUUAAUUCAAUUAUUUUUAAGAUUAAUUAAAAAAGUUUUUUUUUGUAAAGGUGAAAUUUACAAGAAACAUUUAAUUUUCUUUAAAAUAUAAAUUCUUUGGAUAAACUAGGAUUAGAUACCCUACUAUUAAGAGCUUUAAUAUUGUGAGUAUAUAAAAAAUAUGAAAACAUAAAAUUAUGGCGGUACUUUAAGCUUUUCAGAGGAAUUUGCUCUUUAAUGGAUAAAACGCCUUAACCUUACUAUAAUUUGUUAUUGCAGUUUGUAUACCACUAUAAAAGUAAUAGUUAAUAACUAUUUCUUAAAUUUUUAUUAAAAAAAAUAAAUUAAGUCAUGGUGCAGCAAAAAUUUUAGUAUGAAGUGAAUUACAUUUCUUUUAAGAAAGUUUUAAUUGAAAUUAAUAACUAAGGAUUUGAAAGUAAAAAUUCAAUAAAAUGGAAUUUUGAAUUAAGUUCUGAAGUAUGUACAUAUCGCCCGUCGCUCUUUUUUGAAGAUAAGUCGUAACAAAGUUAAAAUACUGGAAAGUGUUUUA